rnacentral:lncRNA from 1 species
AGCUAAAUAGAACUACAAAAAUAUAUUAUCUAUUUAAUUGACCAUUAUUUAAGACAACUAAUUUCCAUGACUGUGGGAUCCGUGUAAAAUAUCAAUCAGCAGGUGCACUAUUGCCAAUGCAAGGGCAUUAAACACUAUUGCACCAUAAUUUAAUUAAAAUAAAACCUAAUUUAAUCAAAUUAAAGCACGUGAAUGCAUUCAAAUUGAAAAUCAUUGGUUACCCUUCACGUAAAAUAUGCGGUUAUAGACAGGCGCAGUGGCCCGAUCAGCUAUACAUGCUAUGCUAUGCUAUGCUAUGCUAAGUUAAGCUAAGCUAAGCUAAGCUAAGCUAAAGACACUCCUGCAUUGCUCCCUUGCAGGUCCAUCACAAUCACUGUUUAACCCCUUAAUACGUUAAUUUGCACAAGCUUAACCACAGCUGUGUACACAUAACACUUAAAACGAUAUCCGGCCGGGCUUCAGACGAACACAAGGCCUGUGCCGAUCAGUCAUAUAGAAGACGCUGAAGCUUAAACAACAAGCGACUUAUUUUGCUCAUAUCCUAAAAUCUCCUCACCUUUCCUGGUCCCUCCGCAUAGUGACUGGAGCGAACCGCAGAGGUGGCGAAGCGUCGCACAGCUUGUCCGAGCAUCGUUUACUGCUGAAGUUGUGCACUUUCUGCUUUCUUGCAACCCAUCAACCUUAAAUUCACCCUUCUGUGAAACUAUCUGCAACUUCAUGACGAUAUCAAAGCCGCGCAUGACACCUGAGUUCAGCAGGCAGGGUCAUAAAGUGUUCAUGGCCGUGGAAAACCACCAGCGUGUAAGAUUCACAAAGUUCUGUUCUAUAUGAUACUGCUGUGCUGUUCAAGUUACUGUAUAUUCCUCUAUGCUGAGUGAAACACAUUGCCCUCCCAUAAACAACAACAAAAGUUAAAUGGAAUUUCUUGGAGCUAUGAAUUUAUGAAUAUAAGCAAAGUCUGGAGAUUAUGGGUCAUUGUUUUUUUUGUUUUUUUUGCAGUUAAAAUCCACUGCAACAGCCUGUGAAAAUCCAACCCUGCAUCAAUAGAAUAACAAUGACGCAGUACAGAAAAAAGGAUUGAUUAAAGUUGAUUUCUGGUCCUGGCACUGGCUGAGGGGUCUUUCAUCAGGUUCAACCUUUGGGAAGGAGUGAACGAUGGUGCGGCGAGGCAGGGCAGAAGCCUGGCCCUAUGGGAGAACUCGAAUUAGAUAGGGCCACUGCCAGCUGAUGCAGUAUUAAAUGCAGCAGAGCUAAAGCUGAAUCAGCCACUUUGAGAAGUUUGCAUCAAAACUUCUGUUUUUCCCUGUCAAUCACAUUACAUCUUGCG